ensembl:lncRNA
UGGUCGCUCCACUCGAGGUGGAACCCUGCCGACUACGCCAAAAUCUGUCACAGGUCGGAGCGGACCACAGGUGUUGCGAGUCACGCCCCUUCCCGACUUCCACCUCGAGGAGGUCCCAAGAUCACCCCAAGGACCAGACACACAAGAUGAGUUAAGGGAAUUUAAAACAACUUUAUUUAAAUUAUUUAAAAAGGUAAUCUAGGAAAGGAGAAAAGGGGAAUCUAAAACUUUGAUUUUCGUCUCUUGACAGGAGGGGACUGGGCCUGAGAACUCUGGAGGUCUUUGGUAAGUAAUCACCAGGGGAGGGGGGGGGCAAGGGCUCUUCCGUCCUUUCCCAGAACUUCCACCAGUCUCCUGACUAAUCCUAAGUCCUUCCUUAACUGCUUGAUUUCCCGUGGCGCCCUUCUCUUCUCCUGAAGGCAACAAGAACACACAAUGAGUAAUGGGUAAAACGAAGAAUGCCUGGUUCCUAGCUUCUUUGCUCUUCGGGUUGUACUUCACCAGCGUCUGGACAGCUCCUCCACUCCCAUAGACCUCCUAGGUAGAUAUAAGGUAACACCCAAAUCCCUGAGGGCACAGGUAAGGAACAACGGUAAGGAUGUAGCAAGGUAAGUAUUCAACAAGUAACUGUAUCUUCACGCUGGGCUUUACAGGGCGUAUUCAAGGGCAAUAGCUUUUAGCUCGUACAGACAGGUAAGUAUUCAACAAGUGACUGGAUCUUCACGCUGGGCUUACAGAGCGUAUUCAAGGUCAGUAGCUUUCCCCACAAUAUCCGCACAAUACCUUGUUUUGCUUUCACACUUCACCUUCGAGCUGGGUCCGGAGAACGGAGUUAUAGGCGGGCGUAGGUGGGAUAGGUGGGCACCGCCACGGCAGCCUACGUUCUUUCCAACAGGAACUUUUCUCGGCCUGGAGGGCAAGUACAGACAACAGGGAAACGGCACAGCACUGCAAAGCUUUAGUGCACACACGUCAAAGACAGACUCACCCACUGCACUACACACACUUCAGUGAUUUUUAAG